GACUGUAAAGGUACGGUAUAGUAAACACACAUGAUUUAUACGCUACAGACUGUAAAGGUACGGUAUAGUAAACACACAUGAUUUAUACGCUACAGACUGUAAAGGUACGGUAUAGUAAACACACGUGAUUUAUACGCUACAGACUGUAAAGGUACGGUAUAGUAAACACACGUGAUUUAUACGCUACAGACUGUAAAGGUACGGUAUAGUAAACACACAUGAUUUAUACGCUACAGACUGUAAAGGUACGGUAUAGUAAACACACAUGAUUUAUACGCUACAGACUGUAAAGGUACGGUAUAGUAAACACACAUGAUUUAUACGCUACAGACUGUAAAGGUACGGUAUAGUAAACACACAUGAUUUAUACGCUACAGACUGUAAAGGUACGGUAUAGUAAACACACAUGAUUUAUACGCUACAGACUGUAAAGGUACGGUAUAGUAAACACACAUGAUUUAUACGCUACAGACUGUAAAGGUACGGUAUAGUAAACACACAUGAUUUAUACGCUACAGACUGUAAAGGUACGGUAUAGUAAACACACAUGAUUUAUACGCUACAGACUGUAAAGGUACGGUAUAGUAAACACACAUGAUUUAUACGCUACAGACUGUAAAGGUACGGUAUAGUAAACACACAUGAUUUAUACGCUACAGACUGUAAAGGUACGGUAUAGUAAACACACAUGAUUUAUACGCUACAGACUGUAAAGGUACGGUAUAGUAAACACACAUGAUUUAUACGCUACAGACUGUAAAGGUACGGUAUAGUAAACACACAUGAUUUAUACGCUACAGACUGUAAAGGUACGGUAUAGUAAACACACAUGAUUUAUACGCUACAGACUGUAAAGGUACGGUAUAGUAAACACACAUGAUUUAUACGCUACAGACUGUAAAGGUACGGUAUAGUAAACACACAUGAUUUAUACGCUACAGACUGUAAAGGUACGGUAUAGUAAACACACAUGAUUUAUACGCUACAGACUGUAAAGGUACGGUAUAGUAAACACACAUGAUUUAUACGCUACAGACUGUAAAGGUACGGUAUAGUAAACACACAUGAUUUAUACGCUACAGACUGUAAAGGUACGGUAUAGUAAACACACAUGAUUUAUACGCUACAGACUGUAAAGGUACGGUAUAGUAAACACACAUGAUUUAUACGCUACAGACUGUAAAGGUACGGUAUAGUAAACACACAUGAUUUAUACGCUACAGACUGUAAAGGUACGGUAUAGUAAACACACAUGAUUUAUACGCUACAGACUGUAAAGGUACGGUAUAGUAAACACACAUGAUUUAUACGCUACAGACUGUAAAGGUACGGUAUAGUAAACACACAUGAUUUAUACGCUACAGACUGUAAAGGUACGGUAUAGUAAACACACAUGAUUUAUACGCUACAGACUGUAAAGGUACGGUAUAGUAAACACACAUGAU